ACAGCUAGUUAAUAUAUUAUAAACAGUACCAUGUUUUAAAUUAAUUACAUCAUGAUUUAUAGGUCACGAUGAUUCCUGCAAUUACAUGUAAAGCCGUUGCAUGUAUAGACCCCUGGGUUUAUGCCAUUAGUCAUCCAAAGUACAGGCAAGAACUGCAAAGGAGAAUGCCAUGGCUUCAAAUUAGCGAACCAGAUGACAAUGCAUCGAACACUUCAAACACGACAACCAACAGUGCCGCCCCUGCAUGAAUAAAAAUAUAAUGCCAUAAAAUUUAUCAUAUUUUAAUCAAAUGUGUAGGUAUUAUAUGUAAUAUUUAAUCAUUCACUCAAAAGGAGUAAAAUAACAAAAAAAAAAGAUUGCUAAUGCUGACCUGGCUAUACCAAUGGACUCUGAAUUUACUAAGUAUUAUAAAAUACUGUUAUAUUUAAUGAAGCAGCAAAAUAAAUGUGACGAACAUGA